UAAAAAGUUUGUCUAAAGGCACCAUUGUCAUUCUUCUCCGUACUGCGUGUAACAAAAGUCUAAAUGGUGAUAUUUCCUGUAGCUAUUCCCUGGGAUGUGCGUGCAGUGGCGAGCGCAGGUUGCAUAAAGCUUACUGUAGCCUAAUUGAUCUUUCACUUUGAGGUGUGGUCCAGAGCGCUAGCUGCUGUUUUCUUAGGGGUUCU